rnacentral:lncRNA from 1 species
GGCGCGGUUCGGCGGCGGCGGCGACGAGGGCGCGACGCGGGCGAACGCGAACGCGGCGCCGGAUUUGGCGAAUUUGCUGCGACAGGUGAACGAGGCGAUGGCGCAGGGAGGGCAGGGACAGGAACAUGGACAACAGGCGCGAGGUGGGCGCGGACAGGCGCCGGCGAGGGUGAUAUCGGGGGCGGAUCCGAGGGCGAGACGGGCGGCGAGGGCGAACGCGAACGCGAGCGCGAGCGCGGCGGCGCCGACGGCGGCCGGGAUGGUGUACGGACAGGGACAGGGGAUGUACGGAGCGCCGAUGCAGGGGGGAGGACCGCCGCCGCCGCCGCCGGCGGCGG